rnacentral:rRNA from 1 species
ACUACGAUGGAUAGGGGUUCUGAGAGGAAGGUCCCCCACAUUGGAACUGAGACACGGUCCAAACUCCUACGGGAGGCAGCAGUGAGGAAUAUUGGUCAAUGGACGCGAGUCUGAACCAGCCAAGUAGCGUGAAGGAUGACUGCCCUAUGGGUUGUAAACUUCUUUUAUAUGGGAAUAAAGUGGUCCACGUGUGGAUUUUUGUAUGUACCAUAUGAAUAAGGAUCGGCUAACUCCGUGCCAGCAGCCGCGGUAAUACGGAGGAUCCGAGCGUUAUCCGGAUUUAUUGGGUUUAAAGGGAGCGUAGGCGGAUUGUUAAGUCAGUUGUGAAAGUUUGCGGCUCAACCGUAAAAUUGCAGUUGAUACUGGCAGUCUUGAGUGCAGUAGAGGUGGGCGGAAUUCGUGGUGUAGCGGUGAAAUGCUUAGAUAUCACGAAGAACUCCGAUUGCGAAGGCAGCUCACUGGAGUGUAACUGACGCUGAUGCUCGAAAGUGUGGGUAUCAAACAGGAUUAGAUACCCUGGUAGUCCACACAGUAAACGAUGAAUACUCGCUGUUUGCGAUAUACAGU